AGAGUUUGAUCCUGGCUCAGGAUGAACGCUGGCGGCGUGCUUAACACAUGCAAGUCGAACGAAGCAUUUUGGAAGAAGUCUUCGGACGGAUUUUGGGAUGACUGAGUGGCGGACGGGUGAGUAACGCGUGGGCAACCUGCCCUGUACAGGGGGAUAACAGCCGGAAACGGCUGCUAAUACCGCAUAAGCGCACGAAACCGCAUGGUUUUGUGUGAAAAACUCCGGUGGUACAGGAUGGGCCCGCGUCUGAUUAGGCAGUUGGCGGGGUGACGGCCCACCAAACCGACGAUCAGUAGCCGACCUGAGAGGGUGACCGGCUACAUUGGGACUGAGACACGGCCCAAACUCCUACGGGAGGCAGCAGUGGGGAAUAUUGCACAAUGGGCGCAAGCCUGAUGCAGCGACGCCGCGUGAGCGAAGAAGUAUUUCGGUAUGUAAAGCUCUAUCAGCAGGGAAGAAAACGACGGUACCUGCACAAGAAGCUCCGGCUAAAUACGUGCCAGCAGCCGCGGUAAUACGUAUGGAGCAAGCGUUAUCCGGAAUUACUGGGUGUAAAGGGAGCGUAGACGGCAUGGCAAGUCUGGUGUGAAAGACCGGGGCUCAACCCCGGGCCUGCAUUGGAAACUGCCAAGCUUGAGUGCCGGAGAGGUAAGCGGAAUUCCUAGUGUAGCGGUGAAAUGCGUAGAUAUUAGGAGGAACACCAGUGGCGAAGGCGGCUUACUGGACGGUAACUGACGUUGAGGCUCGAAGGCGUGGGGAGCAAACAGGAUUAGAUACCCUGGUAGUCCACGCAGUAAACG
rnacentral:rRNA from 1 species